rnacentral:misc_RNA from 1 species
CUUCUAAGAGAGCUUGUCCAGAUUUACCAAGCAUCCCUAUCAAAAGUCCUCAUCCUAAAGUUCUUGCGCAGAUCUUUCGCAGACUUAUUUCUCAGACACGUUGUGGAAUCACAACUAUUUAAUGACCUCACCCACUGUUGUCCAUGAUGAUGGUAUAAAAUUUCCUUAGUGGGCCACAGCAGGUAAAUCAUAGAGGCCGUACAACUCUGCUAGUCAAAUCCUCCAGCUGAAUAUCAAAACA